ACGAACGCUGGCGGCAUGCCUCACACAUGCAAGUCGCACGAGACCUUCGGGUCUAGUGGCGCACGGGUGCGUAACGCGUGGGAACCUGCCCUUAGGUUCGGAAUAACUCCCCGAAAGGGGUGCUAAUACCGGAUAAUGUCUUCGGACCAAAGAUUUAUCGCCUUUGGAUGGGCCCGCGUUGGAUUAGCUAGUUGGUAGGGUAAAAGCCUACCAAGGCGACGAUCCAUAGCUGGUCUGAGAGGAUGAUCAGCCACACUGGGACUGAGACACGGCCCAGACUCAUGCCGGAGGCAGCAGUGGGGAAGGUGGGAUGAUGGGCUAAGGGCUGAACAACUUAUUUCGCGGGAGUGAUGAAGGCAGUAGGGUGGUAAAACGCUCUUACCCCCGAGGAUCAAGACAGGGCGGUGAUAAUACGCUCCGGCUAACUCUGUC
rnacentral:rRNA from 1 species